rnacentral:tRNA from 1 species
CGUAGCUCAGUUGGAUAGAGCAUCGGAUUCCUAAUCCGGGGGCCGGAGGUUCAAAUCCUCUCG